CGGCUGUUAAGGGCUACUUAGCAGGUGUUUUCGUGAGCUGUUGCUGUCGUAUGGUAAGGAAAUCUGGGCAGAAUGUUGCUGCAGUGCUUUUGGAAUCCUCAGGCAGACCAGCUGCAAGAGAUUCACCUCUUCUCUUGAAAUCUGCACGGUGCUGCUGUAGUGUUUGUUACCCUGUGAUGCUCCCAUCACCACCACCCACAUGAAGCACAAGCUCUUACCCAGCCUGCAGGCCUGACAGAGGGCUGGCCAUCACCUUCUGGUUGUCUAACUCAUUUCCUUAGGAAGCAAGACUACAGAUUGGCUUUGUGGACAUGCAGACAUAAGGUUCACGCUGCACACUACAGGCAACUGAUGCUGCACAGCCAACAAGAGGCAGUAAAAGCAGCUUCCUCUUCUCACUCUAUCUUUUCCCAUGAUCUGAGUAGCCUCCUAAAAGAAACACCCUUGUCUUCAGAGAUUUCCAUACUUAGAACCCAUUUAGUAAUUUUUUGUUCCACCUCCCUUCAACUGGAAAAACACAAAAACCUGGUUCUGUUUGAAUACAGUGAGAUUCUCUGGGAACUGGAAGGCGUUCACUGUGCGUGGGUGGGUGCUCCCUUCAAAAACCAGAUGGGUUGUUCCUGUAAAAGAUGCCUGAGAUGAAGUCCCUACUUAGAGAGACAGUAUCUAAGAAGGAGAGAGGAGAGGAUAAAGAAUGCCUCGAGGCAGCUCGAAGUAAUGAACUCUGUACUGAUAAGUUCCUUGUAUAAAUUCCUUUGUCUAAUUGAAGAUUAAGAAAAACAACUGGUAUAAUUUUAUUUUAAAAAAUACAUAGGAAUGGCCAAAACUUUUUGGAUUCUUUGAGCCAUGCUGCAGCUUUCCCAUAUAGCAGCGAACCCCAGGAUGCCCUUCAUGCUUUCUGUAUUACAUUCAUAACAUGCUGCUGUGCCUCAGGAGUGAUGCCUUCAGUGUGCAUGUAUCUUCUAUGUAGGAAUUGUACUUGCCCAUUGGGGAGGGUGACCUCCUGAAGGCAUCUGUUGGAUAUCUCAUAUAAACUUAGGCAUUUAAAUGGCUUUCGUGGCCAAAGAGAGAGAUGGGCUGGCAAUUUAACUGCUUGGUUAUGAAGGUGUUCUUCUGGGCUGACUCCAGGGGGAGCCCAGGUGAUGAAUUCAGAGCAGAAGCAUGACUUUGCCAUGUUUUUUAUCUUAGGAUGGCGGCAGGUGAGAAUAUUCUGAGCCUGUAAGUUCUCCAUAUUUGUACAUCGAUAUUUGCCAUGUUCCCUGCCCUUCAGAGGCAUUUUGAGGAUGUGUUAAGGAUUGUGGAGAUUUCAAAUACCUUGUCAGCAGAGCCAGGUUGACAGAAAUAACUGGAACUAAAUAUCGCCUCAUGCAACACUUUGUUUUGUGAGCAGUGAAUUAAGGAAAUGUAUCUUACAAAUUUACAUCUCAAAGUUGAGCUUGUGGCCUUUCUCAGACACAUGACAAAGGCUGAGCUCAGCUCUCAGACUUCCCAUCAUGCAGGCAAUAAUAGGGCUUGUCUGCUUCACAGAGCCACGUGUUUUCAAAAAUGUGGAGGAAUUAGAUAUAUCGGAGCAUGCCAGCCAACCGGUACAGAAGUUGUCAGGGGAAAUGCACGCAUGCACACCGUGCCCUCGUUUCCUUAGGCUAAUGAAUAUCCCACUAUAACCAAAAUUAAAAUAAAACUGAAAAGGAAUAAAAACCAAACGUGAAACAGCAAGCUGCUGUCCUCACUCCUGGUGUUUGCAGUCUCCAGUUACCUACUCCAUAGGCCAGGGAUGGUUGAAUCAUUUAGUAUAAGGAGGCACAGAGAAUAUUCUGAGGUUACUAGAAACUGGUUAUUUUAUGAGAUGGAUCCCACCUAACUCCUUAACAACAGUUAUCAGCUCUCAUCUGUUCCUUUACAGAUUUUAUUUUAUAUAAAUGGGUUUUAUUACAUCUUUUACUUCGUGGUGACGCUUGCAAUGAUUAUUUAUAAAAGUCAAAUUUUCAGUUAUCCAGAUGGUUUUUUGGCUCCCGAUCUUGCAUUGCUCUUCAUCAUGGCCGUUCUUGAAGCGCUGCGGCUGAACUUGGGUUCAAAGGGUAACCUGACAGAAGAAGAGGCUCCAUUAGGGCUCAGCCUUGUGAUAACAGUUGGAAGCAUGAUUCUAUCUGUAUAUUUCCUGAUAUGGCAAACUUAUGUGCUCAAAGCAGAUGUCAUUCUAAAUGCUGUUCUUCUCUUUACAUACGGGCUCGAGUCAGUACUCCAGGUCUUGGCCAUUGCUGCUUUUGUUGGCUGAGUCCUAACUGUGACACAGCACAUUUUCAACACGUUUCUUCUUUUAAAGAGAGUUUUUAUAUUUCAAAGAUUUAAUUAUUCUGCAUAUCAAAAUUUUGUAAUGCUUCCUCCUGUUUUAAUGACCUAUUCUGGCAGAGAUCCCCCCGAGCAGGAGGUAAGAUAGCCUUUCUACCAGCUGUGUUACACAGCUCAUCAGUUAGUGUUCACCAGGGAUCGAUAUUAAGUAUUAAUUCCCAAUACAGAAUAGCAGCCAAUGCUGCAUGCCGUUGAAAUUGCAUGAGUUUUCAUGGCAGAGAGCAACACCACACAAGCAAAGUGACAAGGAACUGAAUGAGGCCAGCAUCACAUGGACUCGUUUCCUGCAUACACUUACGUGUUUCAAGGCAUAGUUUUGCUUUAUCACACAUCUGCUCUUAUUUGUUUUCAGACCCCAGUGAUAAUUUCCCUGCAUUUAGUAGGGCACUGCCUGAUUGGUCCCAGUGGGAUUGGGUUGAACUGAGUUUUGCACCUCGGAGAGCUGAGCCACAAGAUUUGGGUGGCUGCCUCUUACUGACAUGGAGACCAAACACAGUGGUGUAAGGGUCUGGUUGUUUAAACACAGCAGCCCAAAGAUCAGCAUGAACAUUCACCAUUCACCCUUCUGUCCUGUUUUAAAGUCCAAAAGAAGCUGUCAGACAUAUUUAUAUUUAGUCUUUAAUGUCUUAAGUGCCACAAUUCUGCAAAAGUGACUACAUUCCAACCUCUUUUAUUAAAUCAGCUGUGUAAUUUCCUGGUUUUUUUUUACUCUAUCAAAAAUAUAUAAUAAUGUAAAGCAUGGGAGCUUAUGGGUUUUUUGUUUGUUUGUUUGUUUGUACAGGCAGGUUUUAUAUUCAGAAUUUCUUAUAUUUAUUUCAAAUAAAGAAUGUAUUAGAUCUAA